GGUUAAGCGACUAAGCGUACACGGUGGAUGCCCUGGCAGUCAGAGGCGAUGAAGGACGUGCUAAUCUGCGAAAAGCGUCGGUAAGGUGAUAUGAACCGUUAUAGCCGGCGAUGUCCGAAUGGGGAAACCCAGUGCAAUUCGUUGCACUAUCGUUAACUGAAUACAUAGGUUAACGAGGCGAACCGGGGGAACUGAAACAUCUAAGUACCCCGAGGAAAAGAAAUCAACCGAGAUUCCCCCAGUAGCGGCGAGCGAACGGGGAGCAGCCCAGAGUCUGAAUCAGCUUGUGUGUUAGUGGAACGGUCUGGAAAGUCCGACGGUACAGGGUGAUAGUCCCGUACACCAAAAUGCACAGGCUGUGAACUCGAAGAGUAGGGCGGGACACGUGGUAUCCUGUCUGAAUAUGGGGGGACCAUCCUCCAAGGCUAAAUACUCCUGACUGACCGAUAGUGAACCAGUACCGUGAGGGAAAGGCGAAAAGAACCCCGGCGAGGGGAGUGAAAAAGAACCUGAAACCGUGUACGUACAAGCAGUGGGAGCACCUUCGGGUGUGACUGCGUACCUUUUGUAUAAUGGGUCAGCGACUUAUAUUCUGUAGCAAGGUUAACCGUAUAGGGGAGCCGCAGGGAAACCGAGUCUUAACUGGGCGUUAAGUUGCAGGGUAUAGACCCGAAACCCGGUGAUCUAGCCAUGGGCAGGUUGAAGGUUGGGUAACACUAACUGGAGGACCGAACCGACUAAUGUUGAAAAAUUAGCGGAUGACUUGUGGCUGGGGGUGAAAGGCCAAUCAAACCGGGAGAUAGCUGGUUCUCCCCGAAAGCUAUUUAGGUAGCGCCUCGUGAACUCAUCUUCGGGGGUAGAGCACUGUUUCGGCUAGGGGGUCAUCCCGACUUACCAACCCGAUGCAAACUACGAAUACCGAAGAAUGUUAUCACGGGAGACACACGGCGGGUGCUAACGUCCGUCGUGAAGAGGGAAACAACCCAGACCGCCAGCUAAGGUCCCAAAGUCAUGGUUAAGUGGGAAACGAUGUGGGAAGGCACAGACAGCCAGGAUGUUGGCUUAGAAGCAGCCAUCAUUUAAAGAAAGCGUAAUAGCUCACUGGUCGAGUCGGCCUGCGCGGAAGAUGUAACGGGGCUAAACCAUGCACCGAAGCUGCGGCAGCGACACUAUGUGUUGUUGGGUAGGGGAGCGUUCUGUAAGCCUGCGAAGGUGACCUGUGAGGGUUGCUGGAGGUAUCAGAAGUGCGAAUGCUGACAUAAGUAACGAUAAAGCGGGUGAAAAGCCCGCUCGCCGGAAGACCAAGGGUUCCUGUCCAACGUUAAUCGGGGCAGGGUGAGUCGACCCCUAAGGCGAGGCCGAAAGGCGUAGUCGAUGGGAAACAGGUUAAUAUUCCUGUACUUGGUGUUACUGCGAAGGGGGGACGGAGAAGGCUAUGUUAGCCGGGCGACGGUUGUCCCGGUUUAAGCAUGUAGGCUGGUUAUCCAGGCAAAUCCGGAUAAUCAAGGCUGAGGUGUGAUGACGAGGCACUACGGUGCUGAAGUAACAAAUGCCCUGCUUCCAGGAAAAGCCUCUAAGCAUCAGGUAACAUCAAAUCGUACCCCAAACCGACACAGGUGGUCAGGUAGAGAAUACCAAGGCGCUUGAGAGAACUCGGGUGAAGGAACUAGGCAAAAUGGUGCCGUAACUUCGGGAGAAGGCACGCUGGUGUGUAGGUGAAGCCCCUGCGGGUGGAGCUGAGACCAGUCGAAGAUACCAGCUGGCUGCAACUGUUUAUUAAAAACACAGCACUGUGCAAACACGAAAGUGGACGUAUACGGUGUGACGCCUGCCCGGUGCCGGAAGGUUAAUUGAUGGGGUUAUCCGUAA
rnacentral:rRNA from 1 species